UACGAAGGGGGCUAGCGUUGCUCGGAAUCACUGGGCGUAAAGGGCGCGUAGGCGGCCAUUCAAGUCGGGGGUGAAAGCCUGUGGCUCAACCACAGAAUUGCCUUCGAUACUGUUUGGCUUGAGUUUGGUAGAGGUUGGUGGAACUGCGAGUGUAGAGGUGAAAUUCGUAGAUAUUCGCAAGAACACCAGUGGCGAAGGCGGCGCACUGGACCAUAACUGACGCUGAUGCGCGAAAGCUAGGGGAGCAAACAGG
rnacentral:rRNA from 1 species